GUUACCGGCCAGAGGCGCGGUCACCAGCACUACCGGCGUCGAGGAACGAGCUUCCGCCGACGCGCCGCGAACGGGGUGACCGCCGAAGCCACGGAACGGACUCGCGGACCGUGGCUGGUCCGUCCACCGGAAGGGGGCGGACUGUCGCGACGGGGGAGACCCCGCCGCGAAGCGCUGCCGUGUGA
rfam:Chloroflexi bacterium 13_1_20CM_2_70_9 13_1_20cm_2_scaffold_3959, whole genome shotgun sequence.